GAGCUCUCUAAGCAACAGACCCAGCAAUCCCCGCCUCACAGAGUAAACAAGUCUCUGUGCUAAGAAACCAGAAGUCCACUCCCCAGAACAUAGAAGUCUGGCUCUGGGACAGGCGUAGUGGCUCACAUCCGUAAUCCCAGCAUUUUGGGAGGCCAAGGAACCUGCUGAGGGAGGAGCUAGAGAGCCACAAUCCCUUAUCUACCAUCUACAAAUGCAAACAACAACAACAAAAAGACCUGAAGACUGAAGAUGUUUUGUGUGUUUGAUGUUAAAACUCAAUUAUCAGCAAAAGCUAACCUGAACUCA